rnacentral:tRNA from 1 species
UAUACCUUGGUGUAUGAUGCACAUUAGUUUUUGAUACUUUAGGAGAUGGUUUGAUUCUUUCAGGUAUAA